rnacentral:rRNA from 1 species
ACGAACGCUGGCGGCGUGCCUAAUACAUGCAAGUCGAACGGUCUUUUCUAUGGAAGCUUGCUUCCACUGAGAAGAUAGUGGCGAACGGGUGAGUAACACGUGGGUAACCUGCCCAUAAGAGGGGGAUAACAUCCGGAAACGGGUGCUAAUACCGCAUAGUUUUCUUGAUCGCAUGAUCGGGAAAGGAAAGACGGCCUUUGUGCUGUCGCUUAUGGAUGGACCCGCGGCGUAUUAGUUAGUUGGUGAGGUAACGGCUCACCAAGACGAUGAUACGUAGCCGACCUGAGAGGGUGAUCGGCCACAUUGGGACUGAGACACGGCCCAAACUCCUACGGGAGGCAGCAGUAGGGAAUCUUCCGCAAUGGACGAAAGUCUGACGGAGCAACGCCGCGUGAGUGAAGAAGGUUUUUCCGGAUCGUAAAACUCUGUUGUCAGAGAAGAACAAGUUGGAGAGUAACUGCUCCAGCCUUGACGGUAUCUGACCAGAAAGCCACGGCUAACUACGUGCCAGCAGCUGC